GACGAACGCUGGCGGCGUGCUUAACACAUGCAAGUCGAGCGGUAAGGCCUCUUCGGGGGUACACGAGCGGCGAACGGGUGAGUAACACGUGGGUGACCUGCCCUCAGCUCUGGGAUAAGCCUGGGAAACUGGGUCUAAUACCGGAUAUGACCUUUCCUCGCAUGGGGUUUGGUGGAAAGUUUUUUCGGCUGGGGAUGGGCCCGCGGCCUAUCAGCUUGUUGGUGGGGUGAUGGCCUACCAAGGCGACGACGGGUAGCCGGCCUGAGAGGGCGACCGGCCACACUGGGACUGAGACACGGCCCAGACUCCUACGGGAGGCAGCAGUGGGGAAUAUUGCGCAAUGGGCGGAAGCCUGACGCAGCGACGCCGCGUGGGGGAUGACGGCCUUCGGGUUGUAAACCUCUUUCGACCCCGACGAAUUUGGACGGGAGGGGUAGAAGAAGCACCGGCCAACUACGU
rnacentral:rRNA from 1 species